rnacentral:rRNA from 1 species
UCAGGAUGAACGCUGGCGGCGUGCCUAACACAUGCAAGUCGAGCGAUCUCUUCGGAGAGAGCGGCGGACGGGUGAGUAACGCGUGGGUAACCUGCCCUGUACACACGGAUAACAUACCGAAAGGUAUACUAAUACGGGAUAACAUACGAAAGUCGCAUGGCUUUUGUAUCAAAGCUCCGGCGGUACAGGAUGGACCCGCGUCUGAUUAGCUAGUUGGUAAGGUAAUGGCUUACCAAGGCAACGAUCAGUAGCCGACCUGAGAGGGUGAUCGGCCACACUGGAACUGAGACACGGUCCAGACUCCUACGGGAGGCAGCAGUGGGGAAUAUUGCACAAUGGGCGAAAGCCUGAUGCAGCAACGCCGCGUGAGCGAUGAAGGCCUUCGGGUCGUAAAGCUCUGUCCUC